UACGAAGGUGGCAAGCGUUACUCGGAAUUACUAGGCGUAAAGGGCAGGUAGGUGGUUUGAUAAGUCUGUUGUGAAAGCUCCCGGCUCAACUGGGAGAGGCCAACAGAAACUAUCAGGCUUGAGUAUGGGAGAGGGUACUGGAAUUCCUGGUGUAGCGGUGAAAUGCGCAGAUAUCAGGAGGAACACCGAUGGCGAAAGCAGGUACCUGGACCAUUACUGACACUCAGCUGCGAAAGCUAGGGGAGCAAACAGG
rnacentral:rRNA from 1 species